CCUACGGUGAGCAGCAGUAGGGAAUAUUGCUCAAUGGGGGAAACCCUGAAGCAGCAACGCCGCGUGGAGGAUGAAGGUUUUAGGAUUGUAAACUCCUUUUGUGAGAGAAGAUAAUGACGGUAUCUCACGAAUAAGCACCGGCUAACUCCGUGCCAGCAGCAGCGGUAAUACGGGGGGUGCAAGCUUUACUCGGAAUCACGGGGCUUAAAGGGUGCGCAGGCGGGCUGGUAAGUCAGAUGUGAAAUCCGGUAGCUUAACUACAGAACUGCAUUUGAAACUAUGAGUAUAGAGUGUGGGAGAGGUAGGUGGAAUGCUUGGUGUAGGGGUAAAAUCCGUAGAUAUCAAGAGGAAUACUCAUUGCGAAGGCGACCUACUGGAACAUUACUGACGCUCAUGCACGAAAGCGUGGGGAGCAAACAGGAUUAGAUACCCGUGUAGUC
rnacentral:rRNA from 1 species